GCGGGCUUGGAUUCAUGAUGCUGUGGGCCCGCAUCACAGCGCGUCAAGCGAGCGAUCACGGGGAUCUCCAGACGCUCGUCGGUAUAGCCGCGUCACUACGAAAGUAGGCCGCCGGGGGAAGCUCGCAUUGCUCCUGGCGCUCCGAAUUUUAUAAGAGUGACGCGCCGCACGCCGUGGAGGGGUAGCUGUGUUGGUUGGACAGCUAGAAAGUGUGGAACGCCG
rnacentral:sRNA from 12 species